rnacentral:rRNA from 1 species
UACGUAGGCAGCAAGCGUUGUUCGGAAUUACUGGGCGUAAAGAGUGUGUAGGCGGUGCUCUAAGUCUGUUGUGAAAUCUCCCGGCUUAACCGGGAGGGUGCGGCGGAAACUGGAGUGCUUGAGGGUGGGAGAGGUAAGCGGAAUUCCUGGUGUAGCGGUGAAAUGCGUAGAUAUCUGGAGGAACACCGGUGGCGAAGGCGUCAUCCUGGACCGGCAUUGACGCUGAUGAGCGAAAGCUAGGGGAGCAAACGGGG